UUCAGGAGAAGGAACUCGGCAAAUUGACACCGUAACUUCGGAAGAAGGUGUGCCCUGGUAGGUUGUAGCCGUACAGGCGAAGGCCGAAGGGGUUGCAAAAAAUCGGUGGCUGCGACUGUUUAAUAAAAACACAGCACUCUGCAAAGAUGAUGAAUCGACGUAUAGGGUGUGACGCCUGCCCGGUGCCGGAAGGUUAAAUGAUGGGGUGCAAGCUCUUGAUUGAAGCCCCGGUAAACGGCGGCCGUAACAAUAACGGUCCUAAGGUAGCGAAAUUCCUUGUCGGGUAAGUUCCGACCUGCACGAAUGGCGUAACGAUGGCCACACUGUCUCCUCCUGAGACUCAGCGAAGUUGAAGUGUUUGUGAUGAUGCAAUCUACCCGCGGCUAGACGGAAAGACCCCGUGCACCUUUACUGUAGCUUUGCAUUGGACUGUGAUGGGAUCUGUGUAGGAUAGGUGGGAGCCUGUGAAGCGGUGGCGCUAGCCAUCGUGGAGGCAACGUUGAAAUACCACCCUGAUGUCAUUGCGGUUCUAACCUUGGCCCCUAUAGCGGGGUUGGGGACAGUGCAUGGUAGGCAGUUUGACUGGGGCGGUCUCCUCCCAAAGAGUAACGGAGGAGCUCGAAGGUACGCUAGGUACGGUCGGACAUCGUGCUGAUAGUGCAAUGGCACAAGCGUGCUUGACUGCGAGACUGACAAGUCGAGCAGGUGCGAAAGCAGGACAUAGUGAUCCGGUGGUUCUGAAUGGAAGGGCCAUCGCUCAACGGAUAAAAGGUACGCCGGGGAUAACAGGCUGAUUCCUCCCAAGAGUUCAUAUCGACGGGGGAGUUUGGCACCUCGAUGUCGGCUCAUCACAUCCUGGGGCUGUAGCCGGUCCCAAGGGUAUGGCUGUUCGCCAUUUAAAGUGGUACGUGAGCUGGGUUUAAAACGUCGUGAGACAGUUUGGUCCCUAUCAGCCGUGGGCGUUGGACGUUUGAGGGGGGCUGCUCCUAGUACGAGAGGACCGGAGUGGACGAACCUCUGGUGUACCGGUUAUCACGCCAGUGGUAUUGCCGGGUAGCUAAGUUCGGGAGAGAUAAGCGCUGAAAGCAUCUAAGUGCGAAACUUGCCCCAAGAUGAGACGUCCCUGGAGGUUAACUCCACUAAAGGGUCGCGGAAGACCACCGCGUUGAUAGGUCGGGUGUGGAAGCGCAGUAAUGCGUUAAGCUAACCGAUACUAAUUGCCCGUGCGGCUUGAUCCU
rnacentral:rRNA from 1 species